rnacentral:tRNA from 1 species
GGCGCGGUGGACGAAUAGGUAGAGUCGCCCGGCUUUCACCCGGGACAUGUGCGGGUUCGAGUCCCGUCCGCGCUGC